UAAAUAUUGAAAAUGCAGGGGUUUGUGAGGGAUUUACCCCCCUCAACAGGUGUUGUUGUUUUUUGUGCUUCCUGUAUUGUUGCUUUGUUUAAUAUUUUGUUUUGAUCAUCCUCUCUUUCCUUUGAAGUCAUGUGUUGCCAUGGAGGCGCACCCAUGAGCAGUGAUGCCUAGGACCUGGUGUUUCCAAUUUACCUUACUGGGAAGGUCCAUUGUUUGAGAAGGAAGAGAGAUGUUUGUUUUAUUUUUUGUUUGGUCCCAGCUUAUUUUUGUUUUUGUUAAAUUGUUAGUUGUAAUUCUGUGAAUAUUUGUUUAGGAAUAUUGUUUAGCACAAAUGUUUGUUCUUUCGUUUACCUGGAAAUGUAAUUGUUGUCUCCGCCCCUUAAUCAGUCCUGGCCAUGCUUUAAAAGCCAGGUGGUUUGAAUCAGAGGGGUGGCUCCCUCUUGUUUGGAAUGUUUGUCAGUUUGAAAAUGGUCAUGUAAUGUGCAAAGAACUGAUAAAGAAAAGAUUUAGAGCUCUAUAAUGGCUGGACUUUGUCUGAUUUCGGAUCGCAAACCAACACAGCAUCAAACCCAAUGUUUGUGACUUUAAUCCUUUAUUGUUUAAACUUAAACAAUGAAACUGAAACACAUACUGUACAUCCUCAUACAAUUAGGUAACACACACACACAAAAUUUACAAAUGUAAUAAAACUAAAAAGUUGUGAAAGUCGCAGUCGGAUGUAAACAGUAAAUUUCCUUGGUUUUCGUCCCUUCGGUCUACGAGGCACAGAAAAUAUCUGCAAAUAUUAAGGGGCGAAUUCAUUCUGACUGAAAAAGAAAACAUGGUUGGAUCAGCAGAUUAGCUCCAGACAGGUCAAGUUUGAUGAUUUUUACAGUGGACAAGGUGUGUAGACAAUCACACCUACAGAUUGUCCAGAGUGGUCACCCUGGAGCUCUGUCCAGAACCCGUCCCAACCUUAAAGGUUAACGGUGUAGCCGGACAGCCAUCCUGCAGUCGAGCCAUUCCAGCUUUGUGAAUGCGCCUUUAUGAAUAGAAAGCAUCUCCUUUCUGUAAAGGUGUGAUUUAUAUGAGCAGAAUUGACUAAUAAAUGUAGCAGCAUGUUGGCCUGGUCCAACACAUGACUCCUCUAUUAGGAAUAAGCUUCCACAUUCCCCACUCAGCACAGAGCCUUCUCUGAAACGCUGUCUGUCUUUAAAUG